UUUAUCAUCCUUGAAGGAUGUGAAGGCGAUGUUGGUGGUAAUGCUAGGAUUAUCUGCAGUGUAUACCAGUUAACGAUGCUGAGUGGGAAUCCCAGCUUCAGAAACGCCGUCAUGAAACCACCCCAUCGUCAAUUGAAUUAUUGGAUGCCAAUCAUUCUCUAGACUUAUCACAGAUGU